CCUACGGGGGGCUGCAGUGGGGAAUAUUGGACAAUGGGGGGAACCCUGAUCCAGCCAUGCCGCGUGUGUGAAGAAGGCCCUCGGGUUGUAAAGCACUUUCAGUGAGGAAGAACGCCUGGUGGUUAAUACCCAUCAGGAAAGACAUCACUCACAGAAGAAGCACCGGCUAACUCCGUGCCAGCAGCCGCGGUAAUACGGAGGGUGCGAGCGUUAAUCGGAAUUACUGGGCGUAAAGCGCGCGUAGGUGGCUUGAUAAGCCGGUUGUGAAAGCCCCGGGCUCAACCUGGGAACGGCAUCCGGAACUGUCAAGCUAGAGUGCAGGAGAGGAAGGUAGAAUUCCCGGUGUAGCGGUGAAAUGCGUAGAGAUCGGGAGGAAUACCAGUGGCGAAGGCGGCCUUCUGGACUGACACUGACGCUGAGGUGCGAAAGCGUGGGUAGCAAACAGGAUUAGAUACCCUGGUAGUC
rnacentral:rRNA from 1 species